GAUGAACGCUAGCGGCAGGCUUAAUACAUGCAAAGCGAAGGGGCAGCAAUGUCACUGUCGUACGGGUGCGUAACGCGUAUGCAACCUACCUAUCACUGGGGGAUAGCCCGGGGAAACCCGGAUUAAUACCGCAUAAUACAGGGGUAUCACAUGGUACUAUUUGUUAAAGAUUUAUCGGUGGUAGAUGGGCAUGCGUUCGA
rnacentral:rRNA from 1 species